AAUACUUUAAAAAAGCAAAUGACAUUAACAGUUACCUAAUCUCUCCAGAAGCAAAGGAAGGGUAGCUCUUAAUUAUUAGAGCUGGUUGUAAUACUCAUCACAUGUUUUUUGUUGGUGUUGCUUGCCAUACACCUGUGCCUACAAAUAUUUCUUUUACAACCCUAAGUACCUAAAUUGUGGCAAACUAGCAACGCAAUUUCUGAAUAGUGAGCAAUGAAAAUAUAAAUUCCAAUAUAUCCAUGAAUGCAACACUACAGGAAAGCCGAGCUUUGCCGAGUGUUAAAUACUGUGCCGAGUGUCAA
rnacentral:lncRNA from 1 species